GCAGCAGUGGGGAAUAUUGCACAAUGGGGGAAACCCUGAUGCAGCCAUGCCGCGUGUGUGAAGAAGGCCUUCGGGUUGUAAAGCACUUUCAGCGAGGAGGAAAGGUUGGUAGCUAAUAACUGCCAGCUGUGACGUUACUCGCAGAAGAAGCACCGGCUAACUCCGUGCCAGCAG
rnacentral:rRNA from 1 species